rnacentral:lncRNA from 1 species
UCCAGCUUCACAAGGACACCACACUGUUAAGCUGCAACCCAGUGCACUCAGAAUGAAACCUGCUGGGGAUCACAGCCCAGCCUCAUGAGACACAAGAUGGCAGUCUGCAACCUGGAAGAUGCCCUCACAAGAAUCCCACCAUGCUGGCAUCCUGAUCUCAGACUUCCAGCCUCUAGGCCUGUGAGAAAUAAAUUUCUGUUGUUUAUAAGCCA